UUGGCAGUUGAAAAUAUGUAAUAAGAAUAGGAAAUAAUUUAAAGCUCAAGGGACAGAAGGCUGGACUCUGAGGAAGGUCACUAUUUAAGGGGACAACUACAAAAUGAGAAGCCUGCAAAUGAACUUGAGGAGUGUUCCGAGAAAGAAAAGAAAGACUAGGAUACAAUUGUGCCACACAGGGGAGGAUCAGCACAGCCAUGGUCUCUUCUUGGAAUAAAGGCAUUUCUUUCAUCUAGGAAAUCCAAUGUUAAAUGGCCCUUCAAAAAUGUUUUAUGAAGUAGGCUAUCAAUCAGGUACCGAGGGGCUUGGAAUGGAGAGUAAGGCUGGGCAGUACAUGACAGUCUUCAAUGAAUGAGGAAGAGUGACUUGGAGUUCAGCAAGUGACAGCAACAAGGACGAAGAGGGAGUUAUAACUGAUUGGUAUGCACCCCGAAGG